rnacentral:rRNA from 1 species
GACGAACGCUGGCGGCGUGCUUAACACAUGCAAGUCGAACGGAAAGGCCCUGCUUUUGUGGGGUGCUCGAGUGGCGAACGGGUGAGUAACACGUGAGUAACCUGCCCUUGACAUUGGGAUAACUUCAGGAAACUGGGGCUAAUACCGGAUAGGAGCUCCUGCUGCAUGGUGGGGGUUGGAAAGUUUCGGCGGUUGGGGAUAGACUCGCGGCUUAUCAGCUUGUUGGUGGGGUAGUGGCUUACCAAGGCUUUGACGGGUAGCCGGCCUGAAAGGGUGACCGGCCACAUUGGGACUGAGAUACGGCCCAGACUCCUACGGGAGGCAGCAGUGGGGAAUAUUGCACAAUGGGCGGAAGCCUGAUGCAGCAACGCCGCGUGCGGGAUGACGGCCUUCGGGUGGUAAACCGCUUUCGCCUGUGACGAAGCGUGAGUGACGGUAAUGGGUAAAGAAGCACCGGCUAACUACGUG